rnacentral:rRNA from 1 species
GAUGAACGCUGGCGGCGUGCUUAACACAUGCAAGUCGAACGAAGCACUCUAUUUGAUUUUCUUCGGAAAUGAAGAUUUUGUGACUGAGUGGCGGACGGGUGAGUAACGCGUGGGUAACCUGCCUCAUACAGGGGGAUAACAGUUGGAAACGACUGCUAAUACCGCAUAAGCGCACGGUAUCGCAUGGUACAGUGUGAAAAACUCCGGUGGUAUGAGAUGGACCCGCGUCUGAUUAGCUAGUUGGUGGGGCAACGGCCUACCAAGGCGACGAUCAGUAGCCGACCUGAGAGGGUGACCGGCCACAUUGGGACUGAGACACGGCCCAAACUCCUACGGGAGGCAGCAGUGGGGAAUAUUGCACAAUGGGGGAAACCCUGAUGCAGCGACGCCGCGUGAACGAAGAAGUAUUUCGGUAUGUAAAGUUCUAUCAGCAGGGAAGAUAAUGACGGUACCUGACUAAGAAGCACCGGCUAAAUACGUGCCAGCCGCCGCCGUAA